rnacentral:snoRNA from 1 species
UCUAGAUGGUGGAUAUGGAGGCUGAUAAACUCAUAAAACAUGUGUUGUCAUCAGCUUCAUCUCUUGUAUCUUCACGAGAUUGGAGUUAAAUAACAGCACAAUAUUU